rnacentral:rRNA from 1 species
GACGUAGGGCGCAAGCGUUAUCCGGAAUUAUUGGGCGUAAAGAGCUCGUAGGCGGUUUGUCGCGUCUGCCGUGAAAGUCCGGGGCUCAACUCCGGAUCUGCGGUGGGUACGGGCAGACUAGAGUGAUGUAGGGGAGACUGGAAUUCCUGGUGUAGCGGUGAAAUGCGCAGAUAUCAGGAGGAACACCGAUGGCGAAGGCAGGUCUCUGGGCAUUAACUGACGCUGAGGAGCGAAAGCGUGGGGAGCGAACAGG